UACGUAGGGUGCGAGCGUUUAAUCGGAAUUACUGGGCGUAAAGCGUGCGCAGGCGGUUGUGCAAGACAGAUGUGAAAAUCCCCGGGGCUUAACCUGGGAAUUGCAUUUGUGACUGCACGGCUAGAGUGUGUCAGAGGGGGGGUAGAAUUCCACGUGUAGCAGUGAAAUGCGUAGAUAUGUGGAGGAAUACCGAUGGCGAAGGCAGCCCCCUGGGAUAACACUUGACGCCUCAUGCACGAAAGCGUGGGGAGCAAACAGG
rnacentral:rRNA from 1 species